rnacentral:rRNA from 1 species
CGGCACGGGUAGCGUAACGCGUAGCCAACCUACCCGAAUCUGGGGGAUAGCCCGCCGAAAGGCGGAUUAAUACCGCAUAAAACCACAGUGUGGCAUCACGUAAUGGUUAAAGAUUUAUUGGAUUCGGAUGGGGCUGCGUGCCAUUAGCUAGUUGGCGGGGUAACGGCCCACCAAGGCGACGAUGGCUAGGGGAGCUGAGAGGCUGGUCCCCCACAUGGGCACUGAGAUACGGGCCCG